rnacentral:rRNA from 1 species
UACGUAGGGUGCAAGCGUUGAUCCGGAAUUAUUGGGCGUAAAAGAGCUCGUAGGCGGUUUGUCGCGUCUGCUGUGAAAACCCGAGGCUCAACCUCGGGCCUGCAGUGGGUACGGGCAGACUAGAGUGUGGUAGGGGAGACUGGAAUUCCUGGUGUAGCGGUGAAAUGCGCAGAUAUCAGGAGGAACACCCGAUGGCGAAGGCAGGUCUCUGGGCCA